UGACUGCGUACCUUUUGUAUAAUGGGUCAGCGACUUAUAUUCUGUAGCAAGGUUAACCGUAUAGGGGAGCCGGAGGGAAACCGAGUCUUAACCGGGCGUUAAGUUGCAGGGUAUAGACCCGAAACCCGGUGAUCUAGCCAUGGGCAGGUUGAAGGUUGGGUAACACUAACUGGAGGACCGAACCGACUAAUGUUGAAAAAUUAGCGGAUGACCUGUGGCUGGGGGUGAAAGGCCAAUCAAACCGGGAGAUAGCUGGUUCUCCCCGAAAGCUAUUUAGGUAGCGCCUCGUGAAUUCAUCUCCGGGGGUAGAGCACUGUUUCGGCUAGGGGGCCAUCCCGGCUUACCAACCCGAUGCAAACUGCGAAUACCGGAGAAUGUUAUCACGGGAGACACACGGCGGGUGCUAACGUCCGUCGUGAAGAGGGAAACAACCCAGACCGCCAGCUAAGGUCCCAAAGUCAUGGUUAAGUGGGAAACGAUGUGGGAAGGCCCAGACAGCCAGGAUGUUGGCUUAGAAGCAGCCAUCAUUUAAAGAAAGCGUAAUAGCUCACUGGUCGAGUCGGCCUGCGCGGAAGAUGUAACGGGGCUAAACCAUGCACCGAAGCUGCGGCAGCGACGCUGAUGCGUUGUUGGGUAGGGGAGCGUUCUGUAAGCCUGCGAAGGUGGCCUGUGAGGGUUGCUGGAGGUAUCAGAAGUGCGAAUGCUGACAUAAGUAACGAUAAAGCGGGUGAAAAGCCCGCUCGCCGGAAGACCAAGGGUUCCUGUCCAACGUUAAUCGGGGCAGGGUGAGUCGACCCCUAAGGCGAGGCCGAAAGGCGUAGUCGAUGGGAAACGGGUUAAUAUUCCCGUACUUGGUGUUACUGCGAAGGGGGGACGGAGAAGGCUAUGUUGGCCGGGCGACGGUUGUCCCGGUUUAAGCGUGUAGGUGUGUGUUCCAGGUAAAUCCGGUUCACUUUAACACUGAGGCGUGAUGACGAGGCACUACGGUGCUGAAGCAACAAAUGCCCUGCUUCCAGGAAAAGCCUCUAAGCAUCAGGUAACAUCAAAUCGUACCCCAAACCGACACAGGUGGUCAGGUAGAGAAUACCAAGGCGCUUGAGAGAACUCGGGUGAAGGAACUAGGCAAAAUGGUGCCGUAACUUCGGGAGAAGGCACGCUGACACGUAGGUGAAGUGAUUUACUCACGGAGCUGAAGUCAGUCGAAGAUACCAGCUGGCUGCAACUGUUUAUUAAAAACACAGCACUGUGCAAACACGAAAGUGGACGUAUACGGUGUGACGCCUGCCCGGUGCCGGAAGGUUAAUUGAUGGGGUCAGCGCAAGCGAAGCUCCUGAUCGAAGCCCCGGUAAACGGCGGCCGUAACUAUAACGGUCCUAAGGUAGCGAAAUUCCUUGUCGGGUAAGUUCCGACCUGCACGAAUGGCGUAAUGAUGGCCAGGCUGUCUCCACCCGAGACUCAGUGAAAUUGAACUCGCUGUGAAGAUGCAGUGUACCCGCGGCAAGACGGAAAGACCCCGUGAACCUUUACUAUAGCUUGACACUGAACAUUGAGCCUUGAUGUGUAGGAUAGGUGGGAGGCUUUGAAGUGUGGACGCCAGUCUGCAUGGAGCCGACCUUGAAAUACCACCCUUUAAUGUUUGAUGUUCUAACGUGGACCCGUAAUCCGGGUUGCGGACAGUGUCUGGUGGGUAGUUUGACUGGGGCGGUCUCCUCCUAAAGAGUAACGGAGGAGCACGAAGGUUGGCUAAUCCUGGUCGGACAUCAGGAGGUUAGUGCAAUGGCAUAAGCCAGCUUGACUGCGAGCGUGACGGCGCGAGCAGGUGCGAAAGCAGGUCAUAGUGAUCCGGUGGUUCUGAAUGGAAGGGCCAUCGCUCAACGGAUAAAAGGUACUCCGGGGAUAACAGGCUGAUACCGCCCAAGAGUUCAUAUCGACGGCGGUGUUUGGCACCUCGAUGUCGGCUCAUCACAUCCUGGGGCUGAAGUAGGUCCCAAGGGUAUGGCUGUUCGCCAUUUAAAGUGGUACGCGAGCUGGGUUUAGAACGUCGUGAGACAGUUCGGUCCCUAUCUGCCGUGGGCGCUGGAGAACUGAGGGGGGCUGCUCCUAGUACGAGAGGACCGGAGUGGACGCAUCACUGGUGUUCGGGUUGUCAUGCCAAUGGCACUGCCCGGUAGCUAAAUGCGGAAGAGAUAAGUGCUGAAAGCAUCUAAGCACGAAACUUGCCCCGAGAUGAGUUCU
rnacentral:rRNA from 1 species